GGUGGUGCUUCGGGUGCGCUAGUAAUACUAAUCAUUUCCGGAUCUCUGAUAGGCAUCAUCCCGAAUGUUAUGUUCUUGGAUGACAUGUCUACCACUGUGUUCGAGUAGAUGCCAGUCUGAAAACCGUCACGCUGCCAUGAUGAACAGAAAGUUUGAGGAAAAUGUUUGGGACACGAAGCCAAGUUUUCGUGAAUUCGAAACAAACAUUUUAUAUAUUUCUUGAUUUUUAUUUUUUCGAUUAUUUUCAAAGAUUACUUUUCAAAGAUACUUACCACACUUUGAGUAUUGCAAUCCUGUCCGCUCAUCGUCAAGUCGAGUCUGAACAGAUCACUAUUGAUAACAUCGAUGUUGCAAGUUUCGGAACGUCCGAGUGCAUAAAUUCUACCAUUGAACGGUUUAUUUGUACGAACUUGAACGGCAAUACGCGUGUCCUUGCAAUCGACGGAUACUGUUCAACGUGAAAGGAUUAAUAUAUCAAAGAUAUCAACGUUUAAUAUAAUAUUCAUCGGUUAUGAAAAAUCUUAUUGAAGUUUUACCAUCGUAACAGGUGCCAGUUUUAUCGCAAUUGAUAUCGUUCCUUGUCAGAUUAUUAACCGUAGGAUCUUCCGUAGUUUCGAAAACGACCGGAAGCGGAUCAGCCAGAGGCCCAGUUCCUUCUGCGAAUAAAUUCAUAUAUAAAAUUCAA
rnacentral:lncRNA from 1 species